UACGGGGGGGGUAAGCGUUGUUCGGAAUUACUGGGCGUAAAGGGCUCGUAGGCGGCCAACUAAGUCAGACGUGAAAUCCCUCAGCUUAACUGGGGAACUGCGUCUGAUACUGGAUGGCUUGGAUUCGGGAGAGGAAUGCGGAAUUCCAGGUGUAGCGGUGAAAUGCGUAGAUAUCUGGAGGAACACCGGUGGCGAAGGCGGCCUGCUGGGCAGUUGCUGACACUGAGGCGCGACAGCGUGGGGAGCAACAGG
rnacentral:rRNA from 1 species